rnacentral:rRNA from 1 species
CCUACGGGUGGCAGCAGUAGGGAAUAUUGCUCAAUGGGCGAAACCCUGAAGCAGCAACGCCGCGUGGAGGAAGAAGGUUUUCGGAUUGUAAACUCCUUUUGUUAGAGACGAUAAUGACGGUAUUUAACGACUAAGCACCGGACAACUCCGUGCCAGCAGCCGCGGUAAAACGGAAGGUGCAAGCGUUACUCGGAAGCACUGGGCGUAAAGAGCGCGUAGGCUGGGUAGCAAGUCAGAUGUGCAAUCCUAUGGCUUAAACAUAGAACUGCAUUUGAAACUGGUAUUCUAGAGUAUGGGAUAGGUAGGUGGAAUUCUAGGUGUAGGGGUGAAAUCCGUAGAGA